GUUAAGGUACUGCUGUGCAACCAGGCGACUUGUUUGGUAUUGGUUUUGGAGAUGCCGAGGGACGAGUCGUGCAGGGCGACGGAGGGGAACCGAGGGGACCGAUGUAAGCGGGUGAGGUGGUGCGUGGUGUAUAUAGAGGGAAGAUGUGACCGAUGGCUCUAUGACUCCGUUGCUCCUUGCGUUUGUCUUUUGUUUUGGGUUUGAAGUAGCGUAGCAAUGAGCAAAGGAGGCAAGUCGAGCAAGGCGAGUGGUGAUUGGUGGGCUGAAGUAGCAGCUCUUUUCUGAGGUGUUGUGUUGCUGGGGAAGUUAUAAGCAAUGCGUGUUGUUUGGGUGUUACGGACGGCGGGCGAGCUGGACACGGCACCUGGAAGUGGCGUAGGCUGGGAGGGAGGCUGUCGAGGGAAAGGGGUGCGAGACGGGGAUCGGUGCGGGCAGGCUGUGGCAUCGGGCAGCAUCUCGGGAGGUGCCUUUUCGCUUGGCUUUUUGCAGGUGCCGCUGGCAGGCUCGGAGUGGUGCUGCCGCGUGCCUAUGAGAGGUCUGAGAAGGUGGGGCAGCGGCCAGCAUCUGAGACCAGAGAAUGCUGUGGUCCGUCGUCGAGCUCUUCAGUUCUGUAGUUUGACACGCUUCGCUUCAGGCUUCAUGGAGCCAGGCAGCAAGACGUGCGGCGGCAGGGCGAGGGCUGUAGCUGCUGCGGUGGAUCUGUAAGCGGAGGUUCCGGUUCCGGUACAACUUUGCCCCGCAGCCUCACGGGGUUAUCUCCCCGCAGCGGUGCCGUAAGGAAGGGAUGAGACGUUUUCCAGCACCAGCCAGAGCGUUCAGUGUUACGCAAAGAAUCUGUUCAAAAUGGUAUCGAUGUCUUCUCAGUGUCUCGUGAUGCUCAAGAGAUGCCCCCCGGCCCGGGUUUGCCUGCUGGUCGUUAAGCGUGGUGAAGGUAAGGGGCCAUCCCUCUGCCUGGGGGCUCCCGGCUCUGUCUCCAGCGGGUG